rnacentral:lncRNA from 1 species
AUGAGCUCCUGCUUGAAACACAAAUUGCAUGGAGGUAUUCCACCACUACUUCUACUUCUGUCUUUUGUUGAUGGAGAUGGAUUCAACAGGAGGUGCAUACUCACCUGGAAGCUGUUAUCUAGAGAUGAAGGACGUGAUCCAGGAAGUUUUGAACAUCAAAUACUUCAUGUUUUUGAACAGAUUGCUAAUUGUAUUCCAAACCUGAAUCACCUUCUGAAGACCUGCAGAAAAGGAAGUGGAAGAAUUCGAAGUGUUCUAAUUUGA